GUUGGGUAGGGGAGCGUUCUGUAAGCCUGUGAAGGUGGCCUGUGAGGGUUGCUGGAGGUAUCAGAAGUGCGAAUGCUGACAUAAGUAACGAUAAAGCGGGUGAAAAGCCCGCUCGCCGGAAGACCAAGGGUUCCUGUCCAACGUUAAUCGGGGCAGGGUGAGUCGACCCCUAAGGCGAGGCCGAAAGGCGUAGUCGAUGGGAAACGGGUUAAUAUUCCCGUACUUGGUGUUACUGCGAAGGGGGGACGGAGAAGGCUAUGUUGGCCGGGCGACGGUUGUCCCGGUUUAAGCGUGUAGGCUGGUUUUCCAGGCAAAUCCGGAAAAUCAAGGCUGAGGCGUGACGACGAGGCACUACGGUGCUGAAGCAACAAAUGCCCUGCUUCCAGGAAAAGCCUCUAAGCAUCAGGUAACACGAAAUCGUACCCCAAACCGACACAGGUGGUCAGGUAGAGAAUACCAAGGCGCUUGAGAGAACUCGGGUGAAGGAACUAGGCAAAAUGGUGCCGUAACUUCGGGAGAAGGCACGCUGACACGUAGGUGAAGUGAUUUACUCAUGGAGCUGAAG
rnacentral:rRNA from 1 species